ACCACAUCCCUCCCACAACAUGCGCAACAUGCGGAGAUUAUGGGAGCUACAAUUCAAGAUGAGAUUUAGCUUUGGAGGGUGGAGAAUAACCCAGUUGAAAAUCUACAAGCAAUGCUGUCCACAUCCCAAAUAGACUGGUCAAAAAGCCUUCAUCCCGUCAGUCACUGACAUCAACUUCAUCCAAAUCAGACUCCUAAAAACCCGGCCUAACUUAUGUGUCAUGCAAAGGAUGGCUCUUGGAAAAAUGCAAAGAAGCAGGGGCCGCUAAGGGAGAGAUGUGAAGGUCAAGGAAGCUCUGAGCUCCUGACAGCCGCCCUUCCAGCCUUCUCCUGCCUUCCAUAGAGAGAUGCUAUGGACUCUUGGUCCAGAGACUCAAAUUCAAGGAAAAGAAGAGGCAACAUUUGCAGUGUUGAUCCUUGAGUUGAACAAAGAGUGGUCAGGAGAAGAAACCAACAAGAAAUGUAACCUACCUCCAGAACUCAGGAACUCAGGUACCCUUAAGGAUAUCAGAAACAAUGAAAUAUGGAUUGGCAGAAGCAUCUUCACCACCAUCUUCAGAUGUAAUUAAUGCAGCUGUUGAAUUUGGUUGACUAUCCACCUAUAAUUACCACAUUGCCCAUUACAGAUUUUUGCUGCCUUUUCUUGCCUCCUUUUCAUUUUUACAUCCACUUAUUCCCUACAGAAAUGACAGAUAAUCAGCAUUUUUGUUUUCUUGUUAUGUUGUCCUGAUAGUACAGCUACAAAUGGAUUUGAUGUGCUGAAUAAUGGUCUACUAGGCCUAAAAAUGAAAGUCUAGACCCUUAGUCAAAAAUAACUUGGAUCUAUGUGGUACCAAGAAAAGAGGAAUUAUAAGAAAAAGAAUAUUAGUUUAAUGUUCUGUAAAUUUUUUUCUUAACCUAUUCUGUCCAGUAUUUACUACUUGGCUGCAUUCCUAAAACAUAAAUUUCACAGGGGCAGGAGUCUUUGUCCAUUUUGCUCAUUAAUGUGUUAGGAAUACUAAAAAGAGUGUCUAGCGGGGUAGUCACAUAAUAAAUACCUGUUGCAUGAACAAA
ensembl:lncRNA LINC02654 long intergenic non-protein coding RNA 2654